rnacentral:rRNA from 1 species
GACGAACGCUGGCGGCGUGCCUAAUACAUGCAAGUAGAACGGUGAAGGAGGAGCUUGCUUCUCUGGAUGAGUUGCGAGCGGGUGAGUAGCGUGUAGGUAACGUGCCUGGCAGCGGGGGACAAGUAUUGGAAAUGAUAGUUAAUCUCGCACAAGAGUAGCUGUGGCUUGACCUUUGUGUAUCUGGUGCACUUGUAUCAUUACCGGGUGGUGCUGUGUUGGAUUAGCUAGUUGGUGAGGUAACGGUUCACCACGGAAGCGGUACAUAGUCGGCCUGAGUGAGGGAUCGGCCACACUGGGACUGACACACGGCCCAGACUCCUUCGGGAGGCAGCAGGAGGGAGUCUUCGGCGAUGGACGGAAGUCUGACCGAGCAACGCCGCGUGAGUGAAGGAGGGUUGCGUAUCGUAAGGCUCUGUUGUAAGAGAAGAACGAGGGUGUGAGUGGAAAGUGCACACUUUGACGGUAGCUGACCAGAAAGGGACGGCUAACUACGUG